rnacentral:rRNA from 1 species
AUUGAACGCUGGCGGCAGGCUUAACACAUGCAAGUCGAGCGGAGAUGAGGUGCUUGCACCUUAUCUUAGCGGCGGACGGGUGAGUAAUGCUUAGGAAUCUGCCCAUUAGUGGGGGACAACAUUCCGAAAGGAAUGCUAAUACCGCAUACGUCCUACGGGAGAAAGCAGGGGAUCUUCGGACCUUGCGCUAAUAGAUGAGCCUAAGUCGGAUUAGCUAGUUGGUGGGGUAAAGGCCUACCAAGGCGACGAUCUGUAGCGGGUCUGAGAGGAUGAGCCGCCACACUGGGACUGAGACACGGCCCAGACUCCUACGGGAGGCAGCAGUGGGGAAUAUUGGACAAUGGGGGGAACCCUGAUCCAGCCAUGCCGCGUGUGUGAAGAAGGCCUUAUGGUUGUAAAGCACUUUAAGCGAGGAGGAGGCUACUGAGACUAAUACUCUUGGAUAGUGGACGUUACUCGCAGAAUAAGCACCGGCUAACUCUGUGCCAGCAGCCGCGGUAA